rnacentral:miRNA from 1 species
UCUCUGCAAAACUUCCAUGCAUGAACAGUAUUGUUCAUUCAUGGAAGUUUUGCAGA